rnacentral:rRNA from 1 species
GGAAUCUUGGACAAUGGGCGAAAGCCUGAUCCAGCGACGCCGCGUGACUGAUGAAGCCUUUCGGGGUGUAAAAGUCUUUCAGCGGGGACAAUGAUGAUGGUACCCGCAGAAGCAGCUGCGGCUCACUACGUGCCAGCAGCCGCCGUAAUACGUAGGCAGCUAGCGUUGUUCGGAAUUACUGGGCGUAAAGCGAGUGUAGGCGGUCUGUCAAGGCCGUUGUGAAAUCUCCCGGCUCAACUGGGAGGGUGCGCCGGAAACUGGCAGGCUAGAGUGCGGAAUGGGAGAGUGGAAUUCCUGGUGUAGCGGUGAAAUGCGUAGAUAUCAGGAGGAACACCGGUGGUGAAGACGGCUCUCUGGACCGUUACUGACGCUGAGGCUCGAAAGCGUGGGGAGCAAAC